CAGGGUCCGCACUGCCGCCCACCCGUCUCAGCUCUUCAUCUCCACACACACGGACCCCACGGUCAGAGGAGCUCUCGAGGUCACGCUUCAGCGUUGCUGUGGGUGUGGAGGUGACCGAGAGAGGCCUCAGAACCACGGCCCGGCACCCUGAGACAAGGGAUCCUGCCUGCCUCUGGCCUUGAGCUCUCUCCCAGGACCAGGGCCACCUCAGCUGUUUAGGCAGGAUGGUCUUUGAACACCCGAAGGUGAGCAGCAUGCGCAGGACCAAAGCUGGCUUCCCCCUGAGAGACAGUGGUCCACAGGGGCAUGGAAUCCAAUCACCAUCCUAGAAAUGGAAGGCUCCUUCCUGCAGGCCCAGCCUACAUCACUGACCUGUGUAAGGUAAGGCUCCUUCUUUUUUUUUUUUUUUUAGCUGAGGACCGAACCCAGGGCCUUGCGCUUGCUAGGCAAAGCGCUCUACCACUGAGCUAAAUUCCCAACCCGUAAGGCUCCUUAAGUCUAACCAAAGUUCUUCCUGCUGCAGAUUACAUUCAUAUUAAAGGGUCUACGUUCCUAGGACCUCACUGGUUCUGAUACAAUACACAGUAGACUUAAAGAAAUAUAUGUGUGGGCAUUUUGUUCGCACGUAUGUCUGUAUGCUAUGUGUGGUACCCAGGGGUCCCUGGGGACUGGAGUUACAGACCGUGGUGAGCCAUCAUGUGGGUGCUGGAAAUCAAACCUGGGUCCUCUGGAAGAGCAGCCUGUGCUCUCCAGAGCUGAUCCAUCUCUCCAGCCCCACACAACAGACUUGACACAUGUCUGUGGAACGAGCCAACCUCGUUCCAUUUCCACGUGUCUUGUCUAGCACCAGAAUUAAAGAAGCCAGUGCACGAGAGUAUUCCCUUCAACAGUAGCGCGAGAGUAUUGCUAAAUAACAGAGACCCGUCACCUUUCUAGCGCCUGCUCCACUCCGACUGACCCGGCCUGAGUAGGCCGCCCUACCCGCAUGCCUCAGCCCCUACACCCCCUGGGAGAUUUCCAAGGGUAGUCUAGAAGCCCAGUGCGCUACCCAUGGCAUAGAAGUUAGCACUCAGGGGGACUUCCUAAAGAACAGCCGGGGGCGUUCUGGACUUGGUGAGAGCAGGUCAGUGGGUAGGGGUCUGAGAUGGGGGGUGGUAACGAGGGGCAGGAGGGAGGCAGAGUCUGAAGAAAUGUGGAGCCCGAGUGCCACCUAGUGGCUCCCUCCCCUCCACAGACCCAGGCACCAGGCUAGGGUGUUCCCGACCCUCCACAGCACACUCCAAAGAAGGGAACAAGUCGUGUGUGGAAGAAGCAGGGCGCUUGCUUCCGAGCUUUAUUUACUCUGCUCCUCAGCCCUCUUUCCGAGGAUAAGAAUACCGCAAUGACCUGGCCUGAGGCUACCCAGCCUGGAUGGGAGCCCAGGGUUCCACAGGGGUUCAGUCGGGGCAACAGUGACAGUUGGUGGCUGGGCUCAAGGCUAGGCGUGGGGAGGGGCUGUAGGGCGGGAGGGCUGAGAGUGGGGUCUAGGUUGUGCCCAUCCACCGGAGUGGCCACUGCACGCUGUCCCCUGCACUGACAGACCACCUCCAGCGGCAGCGCAGGCAGGGAGGCGAAAGCCCCAAGAGAAGCAGGGUAAGAAGAACACUUCACGCUUGGGGAACAGCUGCCUCCAAAGCUAACAAAACCCCGGGGCAAGUCUGGGGCUAAGUCUCCAACCAGCAGCUCCAGUGCAGGCUUGCGGGCUCUGUUGUGGUCCUGGGGGCUGCCGCAAACACAGGAGAACAGCUAGCUCUCUGGCUUCAGAAUAGCCCCGGCAGGCUCCCCCGGCAGGCAGGCUCCCCCGGCAGGCAGGCUCCCCCGGCAGGCAGGCUCCCCCGGCAGGCAGGCUCCCCCGGCAGGCCCCUACACACUCAGUCCCCAGGACCUUUAGCGUUUGCAUGUAUUUGCAUAGACAGUUCAGCAGAACCCACUCCGGUCUUUUUGUAGCCAAAGCGGUCCCAGUGCAGGGUCAAGUGCUGUGCUGUCUUCCGUGAAGGACAUUCAAGGGCACUAAAGAGCCAAGAGGGACCCACUGGACUGUGGGAACAAAGCUUCUAGAGUCAAUUCCAGGGACCUUGCGCUGGGUGCUUGCCAAGGCCCCCCUGCUGCGGCAGGAGCGGGGCUCAGCCAUGGUGGUGGGAAUGGCGGCCAUGUUCUUCCCUGGGCCCCACAACUCUGGGGUUCCAGGAGUGCUUCUCCUUCUUCUUUGACCUGUGGGGAGACGGGGCACGAGGCGGGGCAAGGCCUUUAGGAAACAGAACCACUGAGAUGGGAAGGCCCUGUUCUUCCGGAGGAAGCCAAGGCAGGCAGCUGCCACCACUUGCGGACGGGAGAGACCUGGGCUCCCCGGAUGGACCCCACUGGGGGAGGCCGGAAGGGGCCCUGUAGGCACGGGCAAGGUGGGAAAAGGGGGCCCCAGCUCUAAAGGGGACCCCUCAGGACUGCUGUAGUCCUUCACGGGAAGACAGGGAAUGUACGUAGAAGCCUUCUCUAAGGCCUCGGAUUCAGAAAUGAAGAGGACUCCAGCUAGAGACCUCUUCCGUUCAGGGUCCCAGUGCCUCCAAAUCCCUCUCAGCUAUUAACACCCCGCCCGCCCACCCACCCCCAGAUUCCCACCUCUUCUUCAGCGCCUUGUCUCCAAAGAAGUGGCUGAAGAUGAAAUCCUCAAAGUCAUCCACUUCGUCGUCAUCACCCAUCUGUUUUAUUGCCACUUCCUCCAGGCUGUCCUCCAGGGCAUCCACAAAGUCCCGGAAGCGAAGGCGGUCAUGCCUGAAGAGGCCAUCUUCUCCAAAGUAGGCGGGUGAGAGGGGCAGCACUUUGGUCAGUGGCCCAGCCCAGGGCAGCCUCGCCAAGUAGGCUCUCAGCACAGAGGCCAGCUCCUGCUGCCUCACGGGGGCCAGCUCUGUGCCAAAGAAGGCCAGGCCCUCCUGCCGGGCACAGUCGGCUACCCCUGAGCAGCCCUGAGGGGGCCUGUACCUGCGCCUCAGCAGCUCCUCCCAGGAGGACAGGGGGUCAGGGCCGCUGUCUUUCCCCCAAGAUCGCUUCUGCCUUUCUCCAGAGUGGGUGUUCCCACUCUUCGUAGGGUGUGCCUUGGGGUCCUGCCGCUUGCCGUCUUUUCUGUUCCCCAGGUCUUCUACCCUCGGCUUCUCCGCCUCCUUCCACCCCGCGGCUGGUUCCCCGUCCUCAUCCCUCCAGCUCUUCCUCCUCUCCCGGCCGGCUUCCUCCUUCCUAUGCUUCCAGUGCUCAGCCUUCUGGUCCCUCGGCCCACCAUGCCACAUCUCCCUUCUACUCCGCUCCCUGGAAUUCUGGAAGUGGGGCUUCUUCUGGUACCAGGCCCCCGAGUCGUUGGCAGGAACGCCCGUGUCCCGACCCCAGUCCUCCAGGCCCUGCAAAGUCUGGGCCAGCAUGUGGCCAAGUUCGGCCAGGCCAGCACGAGCUGGGGCUCCUCGGCCAGCGUUCUGCAAGCCCCUCUGCAGGUCACGAUGCACAGACCCCAGCAGCCGCCACUGCCUCUGCAGCUCCUGCCUCAGGGCCUGGGCCUCAGCCUCCAGCCGCUUCUGCUGCUCUGAUAAGCUGGGGUCUGGCUCCUGUCCCUUGGGGGCUCUGUCACCUGGGCCUCCACCCCAGCUGAGACACACACCGUCGACGCCCCGGACACAGUUAGCCUCUAGGCCUUGGAGUCGGGCCCUUAGCUGCUGCAGUUCUGACUCUAGGACCUGGUGGGAGGUCUUGCCCUGCUGCAGGGCCUCCCGGAGCCGGGCAUUCUCCUCCUCCAGCCCUUGGGGCUGGUGCAGCAGGCUCUGAAGCUCUUCUUUCUGAGCCUAGAAUGUAGUUAGGGACAGAAGAAAACAGGGGUCCUUGUCAGGGCGAGCACAAGGCCUUCCACCCCGAUUCUCUUCUAUUAGAGUGGGCGGGAGCUAGUUCUGUUGGUAGAGAGCCUGCUUAGCGUAUGCAAGGCCCUGGACUCGAGCCCCAGUGCCCGCCUUGGACAGCCAGAUGGGGUCCCCCUCUUCUCCACCCCUAACCUGAGCCAGGUCCUGAGGCGGUCGAAUCCCGGCAUCUAUGGCGUUCCAGAAGCACAUACUUUUUAGACCCACCAGAGCCCAUGUCUAGCCUUCCCGGUUUCAUGUCCACUUCCCAGAUCUAGGCAGGCACUGUCCAUUGAGCCCAGCACUUGGCACGAGCCGUGGCAUGUUCUUCAAAUGCUCCAGGAAGAUCACCGCCACCAAUCAGAGGUGACUGGCCAGGUAAACAAGUACACCAGCCCCGACAGCCCUCAGCAUGAGGGAGGUAAACAGACCAAGACACCCUGAGGACCGGCCGACCGACCGACCGACCUCGGUAAAGGUGAGGCUCAAGGGUCAGAAGAGAAGGGAAAACUCCUCCUGGGGGAGCCCCACUAGGACAUAUGCCGGGUGAAGGUGGCCAGAUGCACCCCCUCCCUCCCUCUUGCUAGGGCCCACCUGCAGCUGGGCCUGCAGCAGCCGGAUAUCCUGGUUCUCCUUGGCCAGCUUGUCCAGCAGAAGCCCCAUGCUCUGCAGGCUGGGGCUACUGUCCGGUGGUACCGAGGCCUGCCGCUGCUCUAGCUCAUCCUGAGGGCAGAAGAGCAGCCACUUCAUGCUCCCUCCCCGGCAGAAGCAACCCAGCUUCUCCCUACCAGGCACCCCCACAGAACCCAUACAUACCUGCCUGUUCCCUACAGUAUGCACCAACUCAGUCUCUGGCUCAGUAUCGGGAAAGACCUGCAGCUCUGCUUCCUCCAUGGGCCCUGUGGGUAAGUGAGCCUCUGAAUCCAGUCCCUGGAUCCAGAGAGCCCAUCACCCCUCUCCCUGAACACACCCCAAGGCUCACAGGUCUGCUGAGCUAAAGGGAGGAAAGUCACCCUGAACAGGUGACAAGGUCAACAACCAGGAAAUAAUAGGCAACCCUGAACACCUUACCUGAGGACCACUCCCCAUACAGACUCCCAUUAGCACCAACACAGAAAGCAAGCCAGGGCCUCUGCCUACUCACCAGUCUCAGGCUCCAAAAGCGUACCUGAAGACGAAAACAGUCUGAGGAGGCUCCCGGGGAAGCAGGGAGAGGUAAGGACAGGCCGGGGCAGCAAGGCGGGGCCAAAGGACCGAGUGGAGGCCCUAGCCAGGAGUACUCCUCACCAGAGAACAGGAGGAUGCCCAGGCCCAGAAGAACCAGGGUCCCCAGGAGACACAUGUUGAGGGAGAUGCCCAGCUCGCCUCCUGCACCCUCGCCCUUGGCCUGGUCCUCCACGUCCACAGGUAUCACGGGUUGGGGUGGGCCGGGCUCCCGGCCCCUCCGUCUCCGCAGACCCUCUACAUCCACGUCGGUGUCUUCAUCACUGCUGGAGCAGUGGCGGUCUUUCCAAACUGAAGGGAGAGGAGGGGACCCGGCAGUGAGGCACACGCACAUACCACAGUAUGAGUGUGGAGGCAAGAAGUCAACCUCAGUGAGGUGCUGCGACGCACGCCUUUAAUCCCAGCACUCAGGCAGAGGCAGGCGGAUCUCUGCAAAUUUCAGGCCAGCCUGGUCC